CCUACGGGAGGCAGCAGUGCGGAAUAUUGGUCAAUGGGCGCGAGCCUGAACCAGCCAAGUCGCGUGAGGGAAGACGGCCCUACGGGUUGUAAACCUCUUUUUCCGGGGAGCAACUGGCGCCACGUGUGGCGCCACUGACAGUACCCGGAGAACCAUCAUCGCCUAACUCCGUGCCAGCAGCCGCUGUAAUACGGAGGAUUCAAGCUUUAUCCGGCUUUAUUGGGUUUAAAGGGUGCGUAGGCGGUCGGAUAAGUUAGAGGUGAAAUCCCUAGGCUCAACUUCGGAAUUGCCUCUGAUACUGUUCGGCUAGAGAGUAGUAGCGGUAGGCGGAAGGUAUGGUGGAGCGGUGAAAUGCUUAGAGAUCAUACAGAACACCGAUUGCGAAGGCAGCUUACCAAGCUACUUCUGACGUUGAGGCACGAAAGCGUGGGGAGCAAACAGGAUUAGAUACCCGAGUAGUC
rnacentral:rRNA from 1 species